rnacentral:rRNA from 1 species
CCUACGGGAGGCAGCAGUAGGGAAUCUUCCGCAAUGGACGAAAGUCUGACGGAGCAACGCCGCGUGAACGAUGAAGGCCUUCGGGUCGUAAAGUUCUGUUGUUAGGGAAGAACAAGUGCUAGUUGAAUAAGCUGGCACCUUGACGGUACCUAACCAGAAAGCCACGGCUAACUACGUGCCAGCAGCCGCGGUAAUACGUAGGUGGCAAGCGUUGUCCGGAAUUAUUGGGCGUAAAGCGCGCGCAGGCGGUUUCUUAAGUCUGAUGUGAAAGCCCCCGGCUCAACCGGGGAGGGUCAUUGGAAACUGGGAAACUUGAGUGCAGAAGAGGAAAGUGGAAUUCCAAGUGUAGCGGUGAAAUGCGUAGAGAUUUGGAGGAGCACCAGUGGCGAAGGCGACUUUCUGGUCUGUAACUGACGCUGAGGCGCGAAAGCGUGGGGAGCAAACAGGAUUAGAUACCCUGGUAGUCCACGCUGUAAACGAUGAGUGCUAAGUGUUAGAGGGUUUCCGCCCUUUAGUGCUGAAGUUAACGCAUUAAGCACUCCGCCUGGGGAGUACGGUCGCAAGACUGAAACUCAAAUGAAUUGACGG